ensembl:lncRNA
CACAUGGUGGAUAUUUGAAUAUACUCUGCGCGUGCGCGCGCGCGCGCGUGUGUGUGUGUGUGUGUGUGUGUGUGUUGCAGUAGGAUAGCUUUGUGUCUCCUUAUCAGAGAGGGGGCGAUACUGCGCUACAGACAGCCGCUAUAGAGACUCAAGGGCUCUUACUACCGAGACCUGAUGGUGGUUUGACAGUGUUGCUUGAUCAAGACGUGAUUAUACACGAUUAUGCUUUUGGAUAUGUGCCUUUUAAUAUGUCAUCGUUUAAAUACUAGGACGUGUCGAAUAAUAAGAUGUAGAUCAGACAGAGUAGACGUCCGUCCAUCGCGCCCGGCAAUCUGAAUCAUCACAGGGAUUCGUGACACGGAUUCUGCUGGAGGAAAAAAAAUAUAUAUCUAUAAAUAUAUAUUAUAUAUGGCCACGGCAUCGAGCAUUUAACCGACCCCUCAGAACAAUAACAACCAGAAUGCUACAGCACAACAACAACAAUAACUACCCUUGCCUGGACGUGGCUCAUAGAGAGCUGCUCCAUGGUUGCAGGCGAAAUGGUACUACGUUCAGCAGUGCCCUCGGAUUUGGUGCAAUCCCACUAAUUAAAGGUCUUAGGGCUUGGGCAGUAAGUGGAGGAUAUUCAAGAAGUAAGAGAAAAGCUGCAGCUACUUCUCAAGCAUCUGACACAGCUCAUGAGAGCAGAAUUGGGACCAACCAUAGGAAGACACAUUCAUUUCAUACACCUGGGGUCAGGCAAGGAGGACUUGGUGCCCUAGUGACUGUGGCCACAUUGAAGGACUCAGAUGGAGGCAGGCAAACCCAGACUCGAUGCCUCUUUCUCAAAGCCGAAGGAUGUAAUUACCUCUGUGCUAUGGGGACCAGAGUGGAUGGAAGAAAAUCUGGAAAAGGGAGUCAGGGUGUGGGAAUUUGUGAUGGCAAACCUGUCAGAAAGUGGAGAAAGUCUAGCAAGAGACCUAAAUCCAUGGAGAACAUCUCAGUAGUCGAGAAUAAAGAGCGGGAGGCCUCUACAAAACUGGAGCUUUUGGACAAAUGUUCCAUAACACAGUGCCUACAGGCAAAAAGUGCCCUGACAGCGAUUAACAAUGAUGAAGAUCAUCUAAGAUUCAUAAGGUCAGAGUUUUCUACUCUGCAUGAGUUGUGUGAACCAGCCAUGUGCAGCCUCUCUACCAAAUAUGAUUCUAGUACAGAAGUGAAGGAAGACACAACACUAACCUCUUGCCCUAAACUCAGUGGUUGUGAGAUUUUUGUGGGACAAGACACACCCAUUUCUACCAGUGACUGUACCGAUAAGACCACAGAAAUCAGUAAACAUGAAAGUGAUCUUACAGCUGAUGUGAAUCUGAAUUAUGUUUUGAAAUCCAAGGAAAUUGCUAUGCCAAACUCUGAAGAGCAUUGUCCAGGAUCUAGAGUAGUUAUGCAUAACAAAAAUGGAAUCUCAUCCACCAUUAGCCAUAGCCACUGCAACACCACAGACACCAUUAAAUAUGACAUUGAAAUUUUAGCAGAUAGAAAUCUGAAUAAAUCCAAUGAAUUUGCUUUGGUGAAAUUUAAACAGCAUGGUCUACAGUCUGAAGUACUUUCAGAGGACACCAGUAAGACAAAUGGAACUUCGUUAACCAUUAGUCACAGCCACUUUGAGGAGACUAUCAUAACCCCUGCAUCCAGCAUCCAUUCAGAUGAUACUUUAUUAACGAUUAUGCAAGUGGAACAGGAGAUAAAGAAGAGAACAGUUGACAGUUCCUUUAAUCAUGAUAUGGAGAAGAUUGUCCAUUUUGGUGAAAUGAAGAAAGACAUGGAUAGUGCCUCCAAUCAGUAUGUGGGUCACUUAAGUGAACAAGCAGAGGAGCACUGGAGGUCACCUGCGUGUUCUUCUCAUCAUAAGGAGGAAAUAAUCAUGGAAGAAAAUAUUACAUUUGAGGAUGGAAAAAAAUUAAACUCCACAAAUGAGACUUUUGAAGAGCUUGCUAAUUCUUUAUCACAAGGUUCUGGCUCUUUCAAUGUUGCUAAUGCUAUUACAUCCCUGCCUAAUCCGGCCCCCACCACAAACACAGCUGCCCUCAGAUCCAUAAGUAGGCAGCAACAGGAGGGGACCAAGGGUAGGAGAUUAGCACUAAAACCAGCAUUGGAGCUGUUAGAAAAGCAGGAGAGAGACCAGGAAGUGGACAAAGUGGCUGACGAUGGGCCUGAUGUGGUGGAUGAGGAAGAUGGGGAUGAGUUUGGAGUCUUUAUGAAGGCAGGAGAUGAGCAGGUCUGGAAUGAAGGAUUCAACAAACUCAAAAAAGUGCCUUGUGAGAAGCAUGCUGGCAUUGACAUUAGAAACUCCUCUGUUUCAAAUAAACCCCCAUCCUGGACCUCUGACUGGACCAGAGGCCUGUCAAUCAAGCAAUCAGAGGAUACAUGGACUGCCUUCAAGCAGGAAGUUGUCAGUAGAGAAACAGAGGAGUGCUGGUUUUCGACUGCUGUGGAAAAAAUGCACCUCACACACUCAUCUCUUGUUACUGUGCCAAAUGUGUUUUUAGAGGCCUUUCCCAAUCUAAAACCCUCCUGUGGAGAUUCUGACUGCAUUCCCACAUUGACAGAGCUACUGCAAGGAUCUGCAGCAGAAAACAGACCUGAAAAAAAUGGUAGGCAGAGUCUAUUGGACAGCCUUCAGGAUCUGGACCGCAUGAUUGGUGUGAAAUACAAGGUGGCAGAGUCUCUGUCCCGAAAGCUUCUCCUGCAGUCACUGAACCUGAGGACCCUGAACCCUGAGCAUGCAGGCGGCCGUAAACAAAACAUGGCAAGGUUUUCACCGAACCUUCCCACGUCCAACCAGCAGUUAGCAGCUAAUGCUAAAAGAAGACUCUCUUAUGACAUCAACAGAAACAUCAUGUCAUAGUUUCUCCCAACUUUAAAUCACUCUAUUCUUCAACAGCUGGAGAAAGAAUAACUUCAGAUGAAAACAAGCAGAUUUUUUCCCCCUUAAGCCUGUGCCCUCUGUUCCCGCUGCAGUCACACGGAAGAUUAGUUGUUGUAUAUUUAUCUCUGUUAGUAUUUUUGUCCAUUUCCCAACAAUCUAUUUAAAAUCAAAACACAUCACAUGCAUCCUGAUGUUGCUAAAAGACAUUCCUGGGUCAACAAGGAUCAGCUUGAUCAUAUGACAUUACCACAUUUACCUGAGACUAAUUAACUAUAUAGUGAACUUUGCUACUGGUUUUGAUUACACAAUAAAAGCAUUUACCUAAUGUUAGCUUGCUAGUACUUAACAUCAGAUAUCUAAUGCUGGGGAGGGAGCACUGAUGUUAGUUAGGCCAACUACUUAGCUGGUUAACUUAUCGAACGUUGCCAGACUAAUAUUAUUUCUUUCAUUCAUUCAUUCAUUCAUUCAUUCAUUCAUCUAUAUCCGGUGUCAUGGUGGAUUUGGAGCCGAUCCCAAGAACACUGGGCACUGGGUAAGAAUCCAUCACCGGACACCUUGCACACACAUUCAAACAUUCAUUCACACCUAUGGGCAAUUUAGCAUAUCCAAUCCACCUACCAGCAUGUUUUUGGAAGGUGGGAGGAAACUGGAAAACCCAGAGGAAAACCAUGUGGACACAGGAAGAACAGAAACUCUACACAAACAGUAACAAAUGCUGUAUUAUGUCAUUACAUUAUGCCUGGACAAUUGAAAGCACAGGUUAGGGAUAAUUUCACAUAUUACUCCCUUAUUGACCCAGGGAUUCAUUUUCUCAUUUAGCAGAUACGUUUAUCUGUAGUAAAUUGCAAGCAUAGAUAUAGAAGAAGAACAAGAGCAACAAUAACAACAACAAUAAGAACAAUAAUUAUUAAUUAUUAAUUAUUAAAUAUUUAAUAUUAUUAAUAAUUAUUAAAUAAUUUUUAAGGGCUCAGUAGCAUCACUCUGAACUUAGCUUUCAAGUAAUCAAUAAGGAACCUUAACCUAUUAUUACUCCCAGUGUGGACAAUAAGGAUAUUUGGACAUUAAAAUUAUAUAACAUUGAGCUGAAACAAAAUUUACUAGUCCUGUGCCAAAACGUGAUCCAUACUGUUACACUUUACAUUUUCUUCUUUGUAAUGACGUUUCAAUUGUUCUGGUUCUUGUCUCUCAAAUUACAUUUGUUUCAGAUUAAAUGUUUGUUGUCCAAAUUAUCAUCCUAGCUCACUGUUCAAUGAAAUGAAUGAUGAAUAUUUGGAUUUUUUUUCAGACCAUUAAAAUCUAACUGCUUUUAUUUUCUUUAUUUUUCAUUUGAAUCAGACAAUUACAAUGUGCCAUUUUUACCAAAUGUGAAAUUCUGAAGAAUAAAAACUAUUUUCUCAGUUUGAUGAUCAUGUACUCCUGUCAACAUGUUAAUAAUAAUGAUGAUGAUAAUAAAAAAAAGUAAUCAUUGGAUUUGAGCUUGUUUCUGCAAAUGGCUGAUUGUGGUUGCAAAGACACAUAACACUAUGGUUAUUUAUCACAUACUGAUUUUUCCCAGU